rnacentral:tRNA from 1 species
GCACCGGUGGUCUAGUGGUAUGACAAGGGCCUUCCAAGCCCUUAACACGGGUUCGAGUCCCGUCCGGUGCA